UAGUCCACGCCGUAAACGAUGGAUACUAGCUGUUCGUUUUGCAUUGGCAAGAUGAGUGGCCAAGCGAAAGUGAUAAGUAUCCCACCUGGGGAGUACGUUCGCAAGAAUGAAACUCAAAGGAAUUGACGGGGCCCGCACAAGCGGUGGAGCAUGUGGUUUAAUUCGAUGAUACGCGAGGAACCUUACCAAGGCUUAAAUGGGAAUUGACAGAUUUGGAAACAGAUUUUUCUUCGGACAAUUUCCAAGGUGCUGCAUGGUUGUCGUCAGCUCGUGCCGUGAGGUGUCAGGUUAAGUCCUAUAACGAGCGCAACCCCUGUUGUUAGUUACCAGCACGAAAGAUGGGGACUCUAGCAAGACUGCCGGUGUAAACCGCGAGGAAGGUGGGGAUGACGUCAAAUCAUCACGGGCCCUUACGUCUUGGGGCUACACACGUGCUACAAUGGUAGGAACAAUGAGUGGCCAUCACGCGAGUGAGCGCAAAAUCUAAAAAACCUAUACUCAGUUCGGAUCGUA
rnacentral:rRNA from 1 species